UAUCUCUAGAAGCUGCUUCUUCUAUUUAUGAAGAUGUUGAAUAAUCGGCUUCCCCCGACAAACAGGUCUCGACGGGUAAACCUAUCUCGACUGUGAAACAGGCUGCCGAUGCCGUUACUGCUCUUGCUUCUGCUAAAGCGACUUAGACAAUGAAUACUGCUCGUGCCUUAUAAUGUCCGAUUGCUGCCGUCAUUUAGAUUCACUUAAAGAAGACCUACUCUCAUGUGAAUAAAUCUCGUCUGUUUUAUCUUCAAUAUGCUCUAGCCAACUUAUGUCAGGGUGAAUUGAGUAUCAAUGAAUAUUAUCUUGCUG
rnacentral:lncRNA from 1 species